UACGUAGGGUGCAAGCGUUGUCCGGAAUUAUUGGGCGUAAAGAGCUCGUAGGCGGUUUGUCGCGUCUGCUGUGAAAACUCAGGGCUUAACCCUGAGCCUGCAGUGGGUACGGGCAGACUAGAGUGUGGUAGGGGAGAUCGGAAUUCCUGGUGUAGCGGUGGAAUGCGCAGAUAUCAGGAGGAACACCAAUGGCGAAGGCAGAUCUCUGGGCCGUAACUGACGCUGAGGAGCGAAAGCGUGGGGAGCGAACAGG
rnacentral:rRNA from 1 species